UGCUCCUGCUGCCGUCGAGCGCGCGCCGUCCCCGCGGCGGGCGCGGAGCGCGGGCGCGGCCCCAGCGCGUCGGGCCGGCGGGGCGCGGGGGGGCCCGGGGGCGCUCGGGAGCCAGAGCCCGAGCAGGGUGCUCGGUCUGGGCGGCCUCCCCGCGCCCGGCCCUCCUGCCCGCUCCGCCGCCCGCGCGCCGUGACCUUGGCUGUGGGCUCUCCGCGCCCGGCCUCAGUUUCCCCCCUUCGAGAGGUGUGUGGGAGUGGAGGGGGGGCGGGGAGGACGGGUGCCGCCCCAGCCGCCGACGUCACCGAGCCGGGGCGAGUUGAGGGCGCUCGGGUCGGCGGGGCCGCUGCCGGCGCUGGGCCCGGGGAGCGGAGAAGGGGGCUCUGUGGCCCAGCAGUCCAACCUCAGACUCCCCAAGACCCCUAAAUAAACACCUAGCAAACGCAGCCUCACGCCAAGGCCCCUGGGCCCCUCCCACGGAGAACCGCACCCGCGGCGGGCACUACCCAGCCUCCCCACUCCGCAAAUGAGAAGACUGAGGCCCAGUCGCACAGCGCGGCGGGGCCGCUGGCGUCCGCUCUGGCACCACGCCCCCCGAGUCCCCUCCAGGACACGCGCUCCUCCCAAUUUUGGGAAGAGGAUCCCGGUCCGCCGGCAGCACCCCUUAUCCCGCACCAAACACUGGCUCAGCACCCACUGGACGCUGGGGAUGGGCCACAGCGGCCUGGCAACUGUUACGGGGAAGGGGGUUGCGCAGUCAGAGAGGGACCCAGUCGGUGGGGAAGCAGUGGCGCAGACAGGAGAGGCCGGCCUGGCAGGGGCAGGAAGGGGAGGCGCUCCAGGAGGAGGGCGCCUAAGGAAAAAGCAAGGAUGGAAAUGCGCGCUGCCCGCCGUGCAGGAGAGAGGGCGCGUGCCGAGGGCCUCGGACACCAGACCAACCAGAAGCGGCCUCCUUCCGGAGGCAGCAUGGAGCCCCCGACCAGACUAUCAUUGUGAUGCAUCCUUAUGAAGGGAGCCUGUGCGGCCAUCACAAAGAACGUGGCUUCCGGACUGAUGAGGCACUGUCUCUCAGAUGUUCGGUUACUCCUGGCAAGGGUCCCCUCUGUCUGGGUCGGAGGUCAUCCUGCGAAGCCAGGACAGAUGACACAGCACUGGGCACCACAUGGAGCUGAGAUGACAGUGGGGGCAAAGCCUCAUGCUGGGAAACAGAACCCCCACACCCAGAGGUCCGCCCUGGCCUCAAUCCUGCACCCUCCCCCUCCACAGCCGCCGGCAGAGCAGCUCUCCCUGCCACUGUCUCUUCAGUUCACUCCCAGUCAUCACCAGGAACCUUCAGUGGCUCCCCACUACCCACCAAACAAAGUAGACACUCCAGCUGAACAAAGUUCUGGCCUCGAUUUACCCUUCUAGACCCCCCUCCAUCAUUUACUGUCUUUUAUUUAAAGCAAUUUUCAAAAUAGAGAUUCAGUCACAUCCUGCUCAGAACCCUUCUAUGGCUCCCAUGGCCUGUGGGAUGGAGGCGGGGCUCCCCAGGCUAGCACAAAACUGGUUUCUGCCUCCCUGCCUGGCGCCAUCUUCACCUGCCUUUUCCAAAGUCAAGCUGUGCAAUACUUAAUGCCUUUGGAGCACACUGUGUUAUUUUACGUCACUGAGUAUUUGCACACAUUAUUUCCUUGGUUUCCUCAGUAGAUAAAGAGUUCUUACAAAUCAGUAAGAAAAAACCAUAAACAACUCAAAAGAAAAAUAUCCAGUUGAUUUAACUAGGUAGUUGAGAGAAAAAAUACAAAUGGCCUAUAAACAUACAGAAAGAUAUACAACCUGACUUAUAAAGAAACACAAACCAUAAUGAUGAGAUAUCAUUUUUACCCAUCAAAUUGGCAAAAAAUUCCUAGAAUGCUUAUGUCUCUUUGUUAGCUGAAGUCCAAACCCAUCCUUUAUACCCAGCUGCAAAAAUGUCACUUCCUCCAGACAUCUUGGCUCCCACCGUGCCCUGUACAUGCUGAGACAGUGCCUAGAACAGGGCCAGGCAUGUGGCAGAAAGUCAGUGCAUGUUAGCUAUUACAAUAGAAAUAGCAACUGCCAUGCUGUUCUGUAACGGCCAGCUACUGGGACUGCUCACCUGCUUGAAGAUCCUGAGGGCAGGGGUGGCGUCCCCUCUGCUCUGCCAGCAUCAGCACAGGGCCUGCUACAGAGCUGCACCCACUGGAUGGACAAACACGGGGAUGGGUGGUGCCUGAGGCAGAGGGCAGGCUGGAGCCUGGCGCUGGCCCUCGGGGCUGCUCUGCUGCUGUGGAGGGGACCAUACAGGCCUGUAAGGAACCUCCACUAGUCGGCACCCACUCUGUGUCAGCCAGGCACUGUGCUGGGCUCUUUGCCCACACUCUCUCUAUUCCUUGCAAUUCUCUGAGAUGGGUGGGGCCCCCUCCACUUUAUAGGUAGGAGGGAGGUGGGUGACUUCCAAGUGGCUCUUGUGCCCCACGCUGCCUCUGCUGGCCUGUGGGCACUCGCAGAUGCAUGACUUUGGACAUGGAACUUUCCCUGUUUGGGCCUCUACUUUCCCAUCUGAGAAGUGGCUCCAUAUUAAGGGUUUCUCAGACUUAAGAACUGGUGGAUCCCUGAGAGUACAGUUUGUAGGGUUCACCAGACCCCACUUUAACAAACGCUGCACCCAGCAUAAAAUGCCGCCACACGGGAGGGUCCCUCAGGGGCUGCGUGCUCGUAGAAACGACAGGAAAGGCAGCCGCAGACUUCAGGUGGCAGAGCUGCUCCAGAGGGUCACCCCAGUGAUCUGGAACACGCUUUCAUUAAGAUGGGGGAGGGCUGUCAUGGUCACGAAAAUAACAUUUAAAAGAUUAUUGUAUCGUGGUCAAUUGAUUUUUGAUAAAGGUGCCAAGACAGUUCAUUGGAAAGAAUAGUUUCUUCAACAAAUAGCACUGGGACAACCAGCUAUCCACAUGCAAAAGGCUGCAUCUGGACCCUUCCCAUCGUACAUAAAAAUUAACUUAAAAUGAUCAAAGCUCUAAAUGUAAGAGUUAAAACUAUAAAAUUCUUAGAAGAAAACACAGGAGUAAAUCUUUGUGAUCUUGGGUUCGGUAAUGAUUUCUUAGACAUAAAAUGAUUUCUUAGAUAUAAAAGCAUAUUAGGGGCCAGCCCAGUGGCGUAGCGGUUAAGUUCAUGUGCACCACUUCAGCAGCCCAG